AAAAUGACAGCCAUAAAUGUUAUUUUGGUUGAGUUGGAGUGUAUUACUGACAUGGGUUUGUAUGUGCUACUUUCAGAGUUCUCUCAAAGUUUGCCUUCAGUCUCUCCCAAGACUGUGAGCUGCCUACCAAAAAAGAGGAGAAGGAGCAGAGGCCUCUGAAGGAGGGAGUUCAGGACAUGUUGGUGAAACAUCACCUCUUCAGCUGGGACAUUGAUGGCUAAACCAUCACACGCCUCCUGUGAGCUGCAAACACAUAGACCAAAUCACUCUCCAUCUGCAGAAAACAGGCAUCACACGUGAAAUUCAUGUUCAUUCGUUGUACAGCUUUAUGUCACAUGGCUGCAUUGUUGAGUGUUUGUGUGUCUUGGCACAAUAGUUUCACUUUUUGUGACUCUGUCUGUACAAAGGAGGAGUUCUUUGCCAAGAUUUCACACAGAAUCAGACUAAGGACUACCUGCAAACACUUCCUCUCCUCCGAAGCUAAAUAAAUGUUGCACCAUUUGGGGCACGACUAGAGUGGUCAUGAAUGAAUGUAGGAUUUGCACCCUUUUGUCCCUUUACUCUUGGUGAUCUCUGGAUAGUGGGAAAGAUGUCAGUCCAGCUCUUAUGCUCCGGAAGGAUUGUCUUGAAGAGCUUACUCAGUGUCUGAAUGAUCACGUUUGUGUAUAUCAGACAUGUACAAUCAGAGAUUAAACACAUUUUCAUUAUCUUCAGAGGACUUUCCAAUUAUGAUUGUUUCCAAAAUAGCUGAAUAAUACCACCCCACAUCCGUAACAUCCCAUUACAUCCACAGUAAACUAAUGAUGAAACUCAUUCACUACAGUCAGGUCUCUUUCUCUCGUGUGUAGUUCAGACUGCAGCAUUAAAACACUUCUGCCUCAACAUGAAGGGCAUCACUGAUGAUUCGGUGUUGUUGGUGUGGCAAUGAAUCAGCUUUGUGUUACAUAUUUUGCUAUUUCUUAUAAACCAUGUAAAGUAUAAAGAAGAGAAAACUAUUAUUUAGCUUUUCUUUUUUUUUUUGAGAUGUGAAAUAGAAGACGGUCCAGUGCUGCACUGCAGUCUACAUGGAGUCAUAAUGGGCCGCUCUGAAUGAGUGACGCAGAAGAGCUGUGUGUGUCUUCUCUGCAAGAGCCUGCAGAUGUUAGAGUAAGUGAAAGAAAAA